UGCACUCUGGGAUAAGCUUGGGAAACUGGGUCUAAUACCGGAUAUGACCACAUGCCGCAUGGUGUGUGGUGGAAAGAUUUAUCGGUGCAGGAUGGGCCCGCGGCCUAUCAGCUUGUUGGUGGGGUAAUGGCCUACCAAGGCGACGACGGGUAGCCGACCUGAGAGGGUGACCGGCCACACUGGGACUGAGACACGGCCCAGACUCCUACGGGAGGCAGCAGUGGGGAAUAUUGCACAAUGGGCGGAAGCCUGAUGCAGCGACGCCGCGUGAGGGAUGAAGGCCUUCGGGUUGUAAACCUCUUUCAGCAGGGACGAAGCGUGAGUGACGGUACCUGCAGAAGAAGCACCGGCUAACUACGUGCCAGCAGCCGCGGUAAUACGUAGGGUGCGAGCGUUGUCCGGAAUUACUGGGCGUAAAGAGUUCGUAGGCGGUUUGUCGCGUCGUUUGUGAAAACCCGGGGCUCAACUUCGGGCUUGCAGGCGAUACGGGCAGACUUGAGUGUUUCAGGGGAGACUGGAAUUCCUGGUGUAGCGGUGAAAUGCGCAGAUAUCAGGAGGAACACCGGUGGCGAAGGCGGGUCUCUGGGAAACAACUGACGCUGAGGAACGAAAGCGUGGGUAGCAAACAGGAUUAGAUACCCUGGUAGUCCACGCCGUAAACGGUGGGCGCUAGGUGUGGGUUCCUUCCACGGGAUCUGUGCCGUAGCUAACGCAUUAAGCG
rnacentral:rRNA from 1 species